UCAGGCCUAACACAUGCAAGUCGUACGAGAGUUUUUAACUCUAGUGGCGGACGGGUGAGUAACACGUGAGAAUUUGCCUUUAGGAGGGGGACAACAAUUGGAAACGAAUGCUAAUACCCCAUAUGCUUUCGAGUGAAAUGGAUUUUAUCCGCCUAGAGAGAAGCUCGCGGCUGAUUAGCUUGUUGGUAAGGUAAGAGCUUACCAAGGCGACGAUCAGUAUCUGGUUUGAGAGGACGAUCAGACACACUGGAACUGAGACACGGUCCAGACUCCUACGGGAGGCAGCAGUGGGGAAUUUUCCGCAAAGGGCGAAAGCCUGACGGAGCAAUACCGC
rnacentral:rRNA from 1 species